rnacentral:lncRNA from 1 species
GGGCUGUCCAGAGAUCCUCACUAUGGGCUGUCCAGAGAUCCUCACUAUGGGCUGUCCAGAGAUUCUCACUUUGAGCUGUCCAGAGAUCCUCGCUAUGGGCUGUCCAGAGAUCCUAGCUAUGGCUGUCCAGAGAUCCUCACUAUGGGCUGUCCAGAGAUCCUCACUUUGGGCUGUCCAGAGAUCCUCACUAUGGGCUGCACAUAGAUCCUCAGUGCUGUCUUCCAACUGGCUGGUCCUGUUUCCUAAUUCAGAGACGUCUUUGGUUAAGUCAGAGGAAAUGUGUUUGAAAUUUUUCUGUAAUGUGACUCUUAGUAUGCAGGAAUUCUGUGUCACCAAUUAUCAGAGUACCCACUUCGGUGGUCUCCUCAUCUGAGAGGUCACCACCUUCUAGAGGCUGCUUAUGGCGCUCUCUCAUCGAGGGUCGGAGGGAGUCCAUCAAUUUAGUUUGUUUAGCUGGUGCCAUCACGUUCUGCACUAAUUAUUGUUGCAGUGCUAUAAUAUGAAAGACUUUGGAAGUUUUAGUCAGUAAAGGCUAUAAUGAACGCUAUUUAUUUUGGUCUCAGAGCUCGGAGAGCUCACGAUCUGCUCAGUCAAACACGUGGUCUAAUCAGUCUUUAUCCUCUUCUACAUUCCUUCCUUCUUUUGGUUUUAAUCUAACUAAUCCUUGUUUUACUUUCCUUUUCUCAUUUAUGUAAAUCCACCACUACUUCACAGUACCCCAAUAUCGGUGGGUCCUACACUAAUUUAAACGUGGGACACAAAUUAAAUAGUGCUGGCGCUAAAUAACUAAAGUGUAUUUUAGUAAUCUGCUGUAAGAGCAUUUUGAAUAGGUAUAUAAAGCAAAAUUAAUGUGAUAAAAGCAAUAAAAAUAGUGUCAGAACUAAUUAAAGUGAUAGUGCUUUAGCUGUAUAUGCUCACAAUACAUAUUAUGUAUCUGCUCGAUUAAAAUUAUAAUUAAAGUGAUAUUACUAUCUAAAACCUCUAUAAAUUAAUAAAAAAAUAUAAUAAAAUAGUGUCACUUUUAUUAUAAUUUUUAUAGAGCCCACCUCUACUAGUGGUGUUAAGCCCACCGCUAUGUCAUAGUAUCCCAAUAUCGGUGGGUCCUACACUGAUUCCAACGUGGGUGAUAAAAUGAAAAUUGCUUAACACAAUAUGGCCAUAUGGUAAGGGCCACUGCGUCCUGUAGGCAGACUAUCAAGUUGCAUUGAUCAUAAAGAGCCGGCUGCGGCUGCCACCGGCCACGUUACUGGGCACUAGGGAGCACUUACUUGAAGACUAGCGCCCAGUAGAAUGUCGAAGGGCGCAUCAUUCGCUUACCAGCCCCUUGCCCUGUAUGUGGGGGGGGAGGGGGAAAUAACAGGAAAUGGGGCUGGAAAAAUGUCGGCCGCCGUGUGCAGUAAAGAAUACAGGAACGGAGAGAAAAGUACAAUGAAAGUACUAGAGGACUCGCAGUGUGUGUUUCAGAGAAUGUGCAUCAGUCUGCAUGGCUCUGUGUGUUUGUGUAUGGCUCUGUGUGUGUGUGUGUGUGUAUGGGUCUGUCUGUGUAUGUGUAUGUGCGUUUGUAUGUAUGGGUAUGUGUGUGUAUGAGUCUGAGUGUAUGUGUAAGGGUCAGCGUGUGUAUGUAUGGGUCAGCGUGUGUGUAUGUAUGUAUGGGUCAGCGUGUGUGUAUGUGUAACAUAUUCCUCCUCACCUUGCGGUAUCUGCGCCCAGCGACCAUGCAUCUGUAUAACUGACUCUGGCAGCAUGUUGACAGACGCCAGCCGCUGCGGAUCCACGGCAAAUUAUACCCCCACAUCCGCCCACGUUAUUGACGAUGUCAGCGUACGCGUGACGUCACGCGGGAGACGCGCGAGCACGUUUUGGGGUCAAAGAUCGAUCUCGGCCAGUUAGGAUGGUAAAGCAGGUAUUUUAAGCUCAGAAUUGCGUUUCCUCUUUGCCCUGUCGUGGUUUCCCUAGUGAUUGUCCAAGAGUGUGUUCCUGAACAGUUAUAUUCUGUUUUUUGACUUUGGCUUCGUUUUGACUUUCCUGUAUUCGGGUAUCCCUGACUUCUGGCUUUCCCUAAUCAUUGUGUCUCUUUCUGUAUCCCCUGACCUCGGCAAGAAUCCUGACUAUUCUUUGGUACAUUAAGUCCGGCCAUUCUAAGGCCGGUAAUACGUUACCGAUUAGUCCUCAGUGUGACACAAUUCUGCAUGCUGGAUCAACUACUAAUCCUGACAUUACGACAUGGCCAUAGAUCCCGUAGAAUUGUGUCAGCACAUAGCUGCUUGCAAGAGAAAGCUAGUGGAGAAUGAUCACUGUAUGGAUCAGUUUGCCCACGCCUUCAGUACGCUCCUUACUCGAACAGCGCAUCUGCAAUCUGCGGCUUCUCCAACUGUGUCACCUUCGCCUAGUGUACCUCCUAUAGUACAUAAGGCACUUACUAUCUUCCUAUCUCAUCCCCUGCAUUUUGAUGGUAAUAGUCAAUAAUUCCAGGGAUUCUUGAACCAAAUUGAGUAUCAUUUUGAGGUCUCACCGGGCUCUUUUCCCACUGACAGAGCUGAAAUUGGUUACCUGUUGAACCAACUUAAAGGUAAAGCUUUAGUUUGGGCCAAUCCGUUAUGGGAGAGUAAUAGGAGCAUUGCGUACAAUUACCAGGAAUUCCUUGUGAAAUUUAAACUAAUGUUUUAACCAUUAGGCAGGGAGGAAGACACCACCACUGCCCUAAUGCAUAUCAGACAAGGGAACCGGUCUAUCUCGGAAUAUGCCAUAGAAUUUCGCACCUUGGCUUCCGACGUAGACAGCUUUAGCACUCCAAUUUCUUAGACCUAUUGUCCCUGACCUUCCUGUACAGUCCAAACCCGAACCCAUGCAGUUUGGGGGUCACUAGACUGUCGGAGGCAGAAAGACAAUAUAGGAGAAAAGAAGGCCUAUGUCUAUACUGCGGUAAAAGAGGACAUAUGAGGAGUGUUUGUCCCAUAUGUCCGGAAAACUACCGCACCUAAGAACCUUAAGAGGACAGGUCUAAGGUGUAAUGGGAAUAACAAAAAUAGGUUUCUUCUUGUUAUUACGAUCAUAUUUGACAAAAAUAACUUUUCAUGCAAGGCCCUGAUGGACUUAGGUGCAGCAAGAAAUUUUAUUGAUGUUCAGUUUGUUAAAAGUAAUGCUAUACCUAUCAAGGCGAGACUAUCACCUCUGGCUGUUGAAGCUUUUGAUGGGAGACCACUCUCUCAACCCUUAAUCACCCACAAAACCUUGCCCUAUAACAUGUCUAUUGGUGCCUUACAUAGGGAAGACAUAACAUUCCAAAUUAUUGCUUCUCCUUCUUGCCCUAUCAUAUUAGGCUAUCCUUGGCUUAGUACGCACAAUCCUCAUAUCGACUGGGCUAAUAGAGAAAUAUUGAAAUGGGG